UUAAGACAGAAAGAGAUCAUGUAUCUGGACCGAACUCUUUACAUGUGUUCGUUUCGUCUCUUUAUCUCAAUACUUGCUUCGUCACUAAUCAAACAAUGGCUUGAAGAUUGUAACGAUGUUUUUGACUUUUAAACGAUGUGUUAUACAUCUGCAUUUGAUGUUACUAUCUGAUGACUGUAUAAAUAUAUGUCGGGUUAGUAUUGGAAUUUUGGGCGUUUGACGAAUCUUCACUCGAAUUGGCCAUCGUGGUUAUGUAUUCUAGCUGAUUUUUUUGGUACAGAUGUGAUUAUUACAAAAGUGUGCAAGCAACAACGGUGAUCGCAUAAUCGAGAUGUUGAUGACAAUGAAUUUAGGUUCGGUAACGAAUCCACGGUCAACGGGAUGCGAUGUGAUACACGAUCCUGGUGUAACUCAACGUACAAAUAGAACUUAUCUGCAUGAACUGAAUCACAGUCCAAGUGGAACUGCCCUUAUAUACUCCUCUCCGUCCCUUUCGGGUCAAUCUUUGUUUUUAAGGAGAACUGUAUAAUUAUUCCAUAUCUCUGUUAGCUACACGUCCCUCCCGUGACCGUGACUACGUUCAGUGACACGUUAUGUCACUUCGAGCCCAAGCCUACUGUCAUAAACCUCGGGCACCCAUAUUCGGAUUAGAACAUAAACAACUAUUCCUCAGUUUUAAUAUUUAAAUGCAGCUAUAAUAAAAGGUCUUGACUAAAGUAUUGGGGACGUUUCCCGCAUUAUUCUCAAACGUUUCAAAAGAAAGGCCCCGAUGUCUUUUCAUUUCCGACAUAUAUAUAUCUAUAUGUUAUUUAAAAGUUUUUCGAUCAAAGACAACAAUACGAAAUUGAAUAAUUUCUUAUCUUGCAUAUGCUAAGUUCUACGAAAUUAAAAUUAGAAUAUUUUUCAAAUUAAUCGUUUUUAUACACAAGUAUCUUAAUAUGUACUAUCAAUACGUUAAUCGAUGGAUAAAUUAUUUGAAAGUAUCUGGAAAUCAUUUAUAAGCCAGGUAUGAAAUAUCCAAUGGAUUUAUUAAAAUCUGUACUAAGAGAUCACUAUUAUAUAUGAUCGAUUGAAGAUCAUAAUGUUGUAAGUCAAAAUACUAAAAAUUUGAAUUCACGUUCAUGUAUUUUAACUUUUAAAUGUAUCCCCUUUUUAAUUUCAUAAUUGAUAAAGCUAUAAUUUUGUUCUCUAUCAGGAUACGUUUUUAUUACUUGAAAAAAUAUGAUCAAUUUUUUUAUAAUAAUAAAUGGAGAAUACCAUUAUACAGACCUUCGAUAAACCUAAGCCCCCCCCCCCCUAAAACUGAAUCUUAUUAGCUUACAGAACCUUUAAUCCUGCAAGUAUUUUCGGUUUAUAACUGGUGCUUAGAACAGUCCUUAGGUUUAUUGCACGAUCUUUUACGGAAAAUCAGAUCACGGAAAAAGCGGGUAAUUACCUAACGAAAAAGGUGGAUAAUUGUCUAACGGAAAGUCACGUCGGUAGACUUCCUCCUCCAAUCUUAAUUUAUUAAUGUUAGCUAUAACCAAUGGGCAUCGCGGAUCGUUACCCUCACUUUUUUAACGAAAAGUGUGAACGAAUCCACGUUCUUAGUUCAAAAGACGCACCCACAUCGAGCUUUCCUCCGUAAUCACAUAAGAACGAACUUCACUGGUUCUCAUAACGACAGAGCAGUCACUUCAUCCCUCUACUUGUUCUCUGGACUACAGAACAGUCAUUUGUACUCUAGACUUGUUCUCUGAACUACAGAACAGUCACUUCAUCUCUACAAUUCUAGUACAUCAGGAGAGUUCUACUUCUUCUACACCAAGAGAUUCAACUUCUACUUAUUCUACACUAGGAGAGUUCUACUUCUUCGACUACAUUACUACAUUCAACUGUAAGGGCCUUGCUCUAGUACGACAAAACAUUCAGUGUAUCUCUAUCGGAUCUUCAUCCGUCAAAUAAUCGUCUAUGAUAUUCAUAUCAUACGUAACGGCGUAAGUCUUCAGUGUAAUAAGUUGUUGGAAAUAUAAAAUUUAUAACCUGUUAAUCGCAGUGUUAUACCACAUCGAUCUAUUCGUGGUGUCGAUUCUUAUAAUCGUGACGGGAAUUUACGACUCCCGCUGACGCGCUUCCUCGCGAUCGCGUCUCCCCGCGACUGGUCGAAAAUACAGAAUGAAAUAAACCAAAAUAAUGGAAUCUCAUAAAUACUUCGUUCAUAUUUUGUUCAUUGUAUUUAUUAAAUACAUCUAUUAUUACAGUGUGCACAUUACAAAUAUAUUAUUACCAGAAUUAGUUUAAUAAAAAUAAUUAUUAUCUAAGAUACAAAAUCAUUUGGGUAAUGAAACGAGUGCAAUUAGAAUGUAAAAAUCAAUAAAUUCGACUUAUAACUCGAAGAAAAUGUGAUUCGAUACAUUUAUAUUCUUCUGUUACUAAUGUACAUUAUCUAACGGAUUAUCAGAUUACCAAAAACGUUAAGUUAUGUAUGCAUAUAUAAAAACCACUUAUUCGUCGUUCUGAUUGUAUCAUAUAUGCAGCAAUUAUUUAAUAGUCAAAAAUACAUUAAUGUACCACUUCACUUGCAACUCAUUGUUUUUAUUUGAGUCACAUUAUAGAAUUUUAUUGAACCCAUAUUGCAAUUAUAGAAUUAUAGAAUUAUAGAAAAUCCUUUUUAUAUUUUUGAUUUGUGUAACGUACUUUUGUAAUAUAUGUAUUUUAAUAAAUUUUUGUAUUUCAAUAAAAUAAUAACUCACUUGAUAUAACUUAAUAAAAUAAAUGUAAUAACUUAAUAAAUUAAUAUACUUAUGUAUUUACUGCACCUAAUGCAUUAUUAUUUUGUAAAUAUAUAAUGUAUUUAAUACACUAUUAAUGCAUCACCUUGGACUUGUCUCUACUCAUAAAUUACUAUAGAAUUGAAUCUUAUAAAUGCGUUGCGAUCUAAUUGAAAUUCAUUAAUCGUGUUACGGAGAUGUGCUAGAUUCUAAUGAGUUGGGUAAUGUGUUGUAACUUGACGCGUUUUUAAUUUCACCAGCGUAGUGUAGCUGUUCAUGUAGUAUAAUAUUGUCCAAUCGAAGAGAUAGAAAUUAAUGUAACUAUGUAUAAUACAUUAUGUAGAUAUGAAUAUGUACAUGGGAAGAUAAUGAGCUAACAUUGUCAACAUUGUUUCAAUAACAUAAAACACAAAGUACGGGAAAUAAAAGAUACUUAUAAUUAUUUAGAAAUUUGUAGAAAUUCUUUUUCCAAAUAAGUGUUUGUUAUUUAAUUAAUUAUAUGACUAUUGGCGAUUGAUCGAUACAUAUCAUAUGUGUAUGUAGUUAAGCAUAAUGACAAGAAUGAUGUCAGUCAGUCUUUGUCACUCAUGACUCAAUAUCUAAUUCCGUGUAUGUAGUUGAAAAUAUUUGAUAUCAAUGCUAAAUGUCUCCUAAUUGAUGUUAUGUGAAUAAUUCUAAUUUGAAUCAUCAUUUAAAGUUUGAGAUCAGAAAAUCCUCGUGUACUUACGACUAAAUUGUUGAUGUUUAUGCAUUUAUACAGAAUUUAAACGCGCAAAAAUCUAGAGAAUACAUAUAACAUUAAAAAAUAUGCAAAAUUAGUUGUUAUAAUAUUUUAAUAUAUUAUAGAUAGAAUAAUGAAACAAUUGUCUAUCUAGAUUCCAUAUUUUAUAUUAUAUUUGUAAAAAUAUGAAUUUACAUAAAUAUCCGCACUCUACUUAUAACAGAUGUACGAAAAUACAAAAAAAGUGAUUUCUAAAAUGCUGAUUUUAUUUAUUUUGUGUAUCCAUAUUUACAAAGUAAAGUACAUAUUAAGUAUAAAUUCUUUUCUCUGGUUCACGAUACGCAAGGUUACCACGCGAAUAGAGUGUAUUCGUCAUGAUUAUUCAGCAGAAAAUUUGAUAUGUCUACUGUUUAAUCUUUAGGGAUUCUUACUUAUAUAAUUUUACAUAAUCUAUCCAAAAUAGGAAACAUUUCACCCGAAUAAAUAAAAAAAGAAAAUUAUAUAUACAUAUUACGUUAUUGAAAAAAUGUAAUAUUUCUAUAGUACAUAUAUGUACAUUAUUUUCUUUUGAAAUCUUCCAAGAAAUGCAAUAAAUCAACAAUAAUUUAACACAAUAACUAUACCAAGAGAUUUAUUGUAUUCUUAUCAGUUCCAUAAACUUUCUGAGAUUUUACGUGUUAUCAGUGCAGAAUACGAUUUUACAAUUUCAUAAUGGUUUAUGAUAUGCAAUACUAAUUUUUUAAAACCGUAGAAAUUAUUAUCCGUGUCAAAUUAAAACAUAGAAAAUCUUGUUUCGUAAUUGUUGCUUUUAGAACAAGGAGAAAAUGACAGAUGACGUUUGCUUCGUCGGCAAAGUUAAGGCUGCAAUUCUCAAUUCUACUUUAUAUAUGCGGAUGUGUACACAACGUGUCGUAAAACAACUUAGGACGAAUGUAAACGGAUCGUUAUAUCCCAUCAUUUUAAAGAUUUUCGCUAAUUUAUGCAAUCAAAUUUAUACAGAAUGAGAAGCCAUGAGUUGAACAUGAAAUGAUAGUUAAAUUAUGAGCGCAGAAUAUCAAAUAAAUGAUUAAUUAUUUUGGAACUUCUAAAUAACAAUCUUAAUGUCAUAAUAUUGUUUCCAUCUAUAUUUCCACAAAAAUAUAUUUCCAAACUUAAAAAAAAUGUUUUUAACAAACAGUGACAAUGAUAUCACAAAAAUAUAAAUUAAUUAAUGAUUGUUGAAAUGAAACACGAAGGUUCAUCGAGAACAAUUGAAAGGCGUUAUGCAACGAAAAGUCAACUCGACAAGUUGUUAGCACGAAACAACAUCAUGAAGAUGCAUAAAAAGAAUUACGAUACGAAAUAACUUUCAAUAUAUAUUUCAGCGAAUGUUUUCACAAAGAUGAUAAUUUUUCCAGCCGUUGUCGCCGUCUAAAAAUAAUCAUUUCUCGUAUUAUUAUUGUUAUUAAUCGUAAGCGGCGGAUGCCUUCUAGUUGUAUAACGUAGUCAGGCUAAUGGUCGCAUUAAAUGAUGGCAAGCAAAAUUGUUAUCGAGACAGAGAAGCUGAGAAAGGGUCAAUUGUGUACGGCACGUGAUGCGUAAUGUUCAGUCUGAUAUAUCACUACUCCUUUCAAUUUGAUUUAAUACGUAUAAGAACUACUACAUAUAUAGCCAAUCAACAACUCGUCAACAUUGUAGGACGCAUGCUCGUUAAACAAUGUCGCGGAGAACACGUGGUUUUCAUCACACGCCAACUUGUCUUUUAGUUACUGAUAUUUAAUGAGUGAAACUCAUUCCAAGAUUAUUUUGUCAAAAGACGUCAAUUCUGUUAAACGAAGAUAUUUUUGGUUUAAGGGCUCCAAAAUUAUAUAUACAUUCUGCGGAUCGUCAAAAAAACCAUAAAAGCCAACAAUAUUUUUAUGGUUCAAAGUUUGAUGAAUGGAAAUCUCUUGCGUCAUUUUUUCUCUAUGAUUGCUCUUUGUGAUUUGUGACUUUGGCACAAUUUUCCCAGCAAAUACACGAUGUGUCUUUGAUUCUCUGAUUUCGUAACAUUUUGCAAAACCACCCUACAAUAAAAAAAUAUAUAGAAUAUAGAAAAAUACUGAGUGAAAGGACUAAAACUAUAAAGCAUAAAGGACAUACAAAAAUGUAUGAUGCAGUAACUUAUUACAUUACACAAUUCUUCAUUGAAUAGCAUAUAAUACAGCGAAUUUAAACCAAAUUCAUCUAAAAAUUUGUUCUAUGCAGUUAAUAAAAUUAAUGUUAAUAUAUAAUAAAAUAAGAAUAAUAAAAUUGUUGGUUAAUUAUACUACAUAUUUUACCAAGAAUUUCACAAAAUUUAUGGAAGAAAGUAACUACAUAUUUUACCAAGAAUUUCACAAAAUUUGUGGAAGAAAGUAA